GCGGGUGUCAUCCAGUGGCCAGGAUCUCUGACUUCCAAUCAGAUCACGCCGGUUCGAGUCCGGUCGCCCGUU
rnacentral:tRNA from 1 species